rnacentral:tRNA from 1 species
GGGGCUGUAGCUCAGUGGUAGAGCAGUUGCCUUUUAAGCAAUUGGCCGAAGGUUCGAUCCCUUCCAGCCUCA